GACCCUGAUAAUUUAAUUUUUUCUUUUUUCUAAUUGAUCUGUCCUCUCCAAACCAUUCUAAUAGCACUUGGCUUGUAUGAUACUUGUAACUGUUCCUAGCUUUGAGUAGUUGUGUAAAAGACGUUCAUUUCUUUCGGGGAAAUACCAAUAGACCCGUCCUUAAUUUUGUACGUUUUCUGUGGUCUCUUUCAGUGGGGAUUGACUUGGUUGAUGACCCAGUUAUUAAGUCAAAGAUAUGUGGUUAGCCACGAGUUGAGUUUCUAACAUUUCCUGGUUGAAAGAUAAACUAACAUGAAUGGAGGGAUAGAGGAGAAGGGAUCUGAGACCAUAGCAGAGAGGAGAGAAAUUAAGCAGAGCCACAAAGUGGGGUAAAGAGAACACAGAGAAGAGACAGAGAAAACAGGAUGGCAUAGGUCCAGGUUCGUAAGCAUCUGGCUGACAAGGCGGCAUAGAGGGCUGGUGAGUGAGGUGAGAACUGGCCAGUAACAUGAGGAUGGAAAGGCUCUGGGGAAAAAAAAAUAAGUGAAUGGUGUUUGGGUGUCACCAGGAACUUCAUAAGGCCUAGGUAAUUAUCUAAGUAGAGGAACAUAUCCUUUAAUUGUACUGCUUGUUAUCUCACUCUGUCUCUCUGGUCCAUCUGUGAAGACCACUGAGUGAUUUUGAGGAAAUUGGUACAUAACUGAAAGGAUGUCAGAGUAUAUUCUCGGUCCUAUUUGGAGAUUUGUCCAUGGUUUUGAGUCAAAAAGUGACAAGAAAUAGGAUUCUAGAAAUUACUUCAAGACCAUUUAUUCCACUCUUAAUUUCAAAGAGGACCAGAGGGGAGAAGGGAUACAGGCCCAUGGCACAAGCUCAGUAAAUCUCUCUUAAAGGAAUUUACACAAUGACACAUGCCAAUUUCUUCACUGAGAGAGACCUACAGCCCUGGAAGACCCUCACUCCUUCCUUGACUGGCCCUCUCUUCCUUGGACUUUAGGGGUUCAAAUUAGUCUUAUAUAAUGGUUUGUACUUUCAACUUUUCCUUCUUCCUGUUUCAUUAUCUUUAGUCUUCCUUUCUUUCCUUUUAGUCUUUUAUCUCUUUUUUCUAAUCACUUUGACGCCUCAGUUUCAUGGACUUUUUCCUAUAUAUUAUGUUAAUGGACAAUGAAAGCUUAGCAUUAAGCUAUUUCUAUUUUAAUUUGAGAGAGUGCAAGAUUUUCCUCAAUAACUCAAUUCCCCUUUGUGUUAGAUCAUAAAGUAUGUCAAACUCUUUGAGACUA